AGGGCAAGUCUGGUGCCAGCAGCCGCAGUAAUUCCAGCUCCAAUAGCGUAUAUUAAAGUUGUUGCAGUUAAAAAGCUCGUAGUUGAAUUUCGGGAUCAAUCUAUCGGUCGUGCAAUAGUACGUACUGAUUUUAUUGAUUCCUCCCUUCUGAUGAACUAUGAUGUCAUUAAUUUGGUGUCAUAGGGAAUCAGGACUGUUACUUUGAAAAAAUUAGAGUGUUUAAAGCAGGCUCACGCUUGAAUACAUUAGCAUGGAAUAACGAAAUAGGACGUUUGAUUCUAUUUUGUUGGUUUCUAGGAUCGACGUAAUGAUUAAUAGGGAUAGUUGGGGGCAUUAGUAUUCAAUUGUCAGAGGUGAAAUUCUUGGAUUUAUUGAAGACUAACUACUGCGAAAGCAUUUGCCAAGGAUGUUUUCAUUAAUCAAGAACGAAAGUUAGGGGAUCGAAGACGGUCAGAUACCGUCGUAGUCUUAACCAUAAACUAUGCCGACUAGGGAUCGGAUGAUGUUAAUUUUUUAAUGACUCAUUCGGCGCCUUACGGGAA
rnacentral:rRNA from 1 species